AACGAACGCUAGCGGCAGGCCUAACACAUGCAAGUCGAACGCUCGUAGCAAUACGGGAGUGGCGCACGGGUGAGUAACGCGUGGGCACCUACCCGGUGGUCCGGAAUAACCGCGGGAAACUGCGGCUAAUACCGAAUAAGCCCUUAGGGGGUAAAGGAAUUUAUUCGCCAUCGGAUGGGCCCGGCCGUCGGAUUAGCUAGUUGGUGUGGUAACGGCGCACCAAGGCGACGAUCCGUAGCUGGUCUGAGAGGAUGAUCAGCCACACUGGGACUGAGACACGGCCCAGACUCCUACGGGAGGCAGCAGUGGGGAAUAUUGGACAAUGGGCGCAAGCCUGAUCCAGCCAUGCCGCGUGAGUGAAGAAGGCCUUCGGGUUGUAAAGCUCUUUUGGCGGGGACGAUGAUGACGGUACCCGCAGAAUAAGCCCCCGGCUAACUUCGUGCCAGCAGCCGCGGUAAGACGAAGGGGCUAGCUUGUUCGGAAUUACUGGGCGUAAAAGGGGCCAGCGUAGGCGGGUUUGUUAAGUCAGGCGUNAAAGCCCUGGGCUNAACCUGGGAUGNGCGCUUGAUACUGGCAGGCUUGAGUGCAGGAGAGGAUGGUGGGAUUCCCAGUGUAGAGGUGAAAUUCGUAGAUAUUGGGAAGAACACCGGUGGCGAAGGCGGCCAUCUGGACUGCAACUGACGCUGA
rnacentral:rRNA from 1 species